UCUCCUAGAGGGAUUGUAUGACAGCUAUUCCUGCUGCUGGCAGAGAGAGUGGAGACUGUGAGGGAGAGGGAAAGUCUGUUAUUCAGAGGAAGUUACCACCUCUUCCCUAUAGGCUUCUCUACAAGUUCCAGGACUGGAGAACAGCAGUAGUCACACACAGGGAAUCGGCAAGAUUGACAGUCAGGAUUGCUUGUUGUGUUGAUUUUCCCAACCUGGAUGCGAGAAGUGGACUGUUUUGACUGAGGCUAGCAUUGAGCCUUACCUUAUCUUGACAUGAAUUAACUUUCCUAAGUGGACACCUUGACAGCACUACUUACUUGGGCGGCCAAAUGAACUGUUCGGCCUGAGGAGCGAAGGGCACGGGCAUAGAUCCAGAGAGAGAAAGAGAGAGAGAGAGAGAGGCUCAAUUAUUCAGCAAACCUCUCCACUUCCACCAUGAGCUGGGACUGAAGACUUACCUCUAAAGCUUCAUUUUAUGGUGUAAGGCAGGGCUACUGGAGCAUAUCGUCAGCAUGGAUGCAAGAGGAAAGAGAUGGACCUCCUGAGCAACAGCAUAGCUGCCUACGCACACAUCAAAGUCAGUCAAUCAAUCAAUC